CACACACACACACACGUCCCAACCCCAGCUGGGCCUGGGACCUUCCACUGCUCUGAGCCCCUUUCAGCCCCCUUCCUCCUCUAGCUUUGGGAAUGAGGGGGAAGUCAUCUCAAAUUGAUUAGUGUGUUAGUACUAGUACUCGUUUUCGUUUUGGUUUUAGUUUUAUUUCCGCCACCAUUAAUAAUAAGAUAGAGAAUAAAAGUUUAUCGUGGAAAGGUGUUUCGGGUGUGGCUCUCUCUACCUCCCCACUCCCGGGGCAGCGGCCGGGGAAGGGUGGGAUCAGUACCCCAGCUGGCUGGGAGUGUCAAGGUGAGCGUCCAGCGCGGUGCAGGGCUCCUGUCAGGAAGACACAAGGCGGAACUUGUGUCCCAUUCCUGGCCAGGUCCUCAAUCCUUCUCUCAGGAAAUCUUCACGUUUAAUAGCCAACCACUCUUGGAAUAGUGGGGGUGAUUUCGGUGAUGCGAGAGGGGCACGGUCCAAAUCCUGUCUCCUACAGCCAGGCCCAGCCACCAGAACUCAUCCCUCUCCAAGCAGUGACAGAAGGGGCAGGAGGCAAAAGGAUCCCGAUCUGCUGCUAAGGGGCGCAUAGAUCCGGCGCCCUCCUGUCCCCAAGCGCGACCGGCGGGAGGCCAAAUGCAUAGCUCCAGCUCUAGGUCUGAAGGACAAGUUCCUUUCUCCCUGGCGGUGGAAUCUCGCACCACUCUAUCCCAGGUGGCCUGGCCUCGUCUUUCUCCCAGCACCUGCAGCUUCAGGAAGUCUCUGUUAAACCACAGAAUGGUCAUUUCUCCUUCAUUUAAAUGAGGUUUUGCGCAGCCCUGAAUUAUUCACCCCUGAGAUUGAACAUCAACAAUUUCUCUGUUUCUACCCUGCACCAAAGCAGUUCUGAACUCCCCAACCUGUGCAGCUAACUGUGUCCGGGAGCCAUGCGGUGAGGGCCAAGAGGAGGAAACUCGUGGUUUUGAACAUGAACUGAUUUGAGGGGGUCAGGAUCUGAGAGCUCUGAGGUUGAGCCCAGUAAGCACCAAAGGCAUUGGGCUGAAUGUGCUAGACCAGGAAGAGGGCAUAGGGGAGAGAGUAGGAACAGCCGAGGUUUCUGAGACUCCCAGCGCUCCCCUGGAGGAGAGAACCCUCUUCCCCUCCCUCCUGCCCACCCCAAGGGUCUAGCUCUCCUUAGCCACCCAGAGUUGAGUAUGGCGCCAGCGCGGUGACAGUGGCUGAGGAGCACAUGGACCCUAUCAGCCCACCCUGGGGAGCCAUGGCUGCGGAGGCCCCGACCCCUUUGCCUCCGCUGUAGGGCCAGAGAGCAUCCCUGGCUCCUAAUCCACCUGUCUAAAUGUAUCUGUCAGGAGUGACUGGCUCAUAAUUCCUGGACUCUCUAGAGAGAGCACGCGGUGGGGCCACAGACAAGAAUUACUCCUGGAAAAAGAAAAAUCAGGUUUAAAAGAAGUGAACUCUUCCUCUCCGGCGGCAUGAACACAGUACAGUCUCUGGCUCUGGGAGGUCCUGGAGACCUGGAGGAGGUUUGAGGGUCAGUGCACUGGCAGGAGGGUGCGAGAGUGGGAGCAGGGGAAGCUAUGUAGAAGAUUAGGCCUGUCCAUGACAGCGUAGGUUUGGAGUAAGGAACAGGGAAAGGGAAUGGUUUGGAUUAAAGUGGGCACGCCUAAGCCAGGAGUUCCGCGAAGGCAGCGAAGAGAGGACUAAGCACGCACAGUAUGCUCGGGGCUCCGGGGGUGCGGGGAGUGGGGACGCACCCUGCCCAGUGCUCUCCAUUGCGGAAUCUGCUAGCUUCGUCGGGCGCGAGAUACCAAGAAAGGUUGAUUUCCAGACCUUGGAGUCUCUGAGAUAAAGGAACGCCACAUCCCUGCCUCAGUCCAGUGGAUACUCGUGAUCCGGAAAAGCAGCUAAAGCCGCUUCUUCCCCCCAGUAGGUGAGGAGUCAACAGGCACACUCUAAAGACGAGGAAAUAAAGCCGGUCGUGACACCGUGAGAGCUGGUUCGCCCAACUACCCUUUCAGGGGAACGUCCACCCCACCUCUGCUGCCGAGCUUGGAAAAGUGGCAAGGAGUCGCAGUCCAGGACAAAACUCCGCCCCCGUCCCCGUGAAGGCCGCCCGUGGCUGGGGGCUACUGUAGAGGGAGAGAGCAAAAUCAAUCAGAAGAAUGGAGAACUGGCUGUGCAAGGUGGCUCACGUUUGUAAUCCCAGCACUUUGAGAGGCCAAGGUGAGAGCCCAGGAGUUCAAGACCAGCCUGGACAACAUAGAGAGACCUUAUCUCUACUAAAAAAUAAAAAUAAAUUAGUUGGGCAUGGUGGUGUACACCUGUAGUCCCACCUAUUCAGGAGGCUGAGGUCAGAGGAUUGCUUGAGCCCAGGAGUUCAAGGCUACAGUGAGUUAUGACCAUACCACUGCACUCCAACCUAGGAGACAGAGUGAGACCCUGUCUCGAAAAAAGGAGGGAGGACAACAGCCUCAUAUUCCCACCACUAACUUCCCAGCCCAGCUGCAUCUGUCUCCAUGCAGCCUCCUUCCCUCCAGCUCCAUACAUAAAUUGA
rnacentral:lncRNA from 1 species